GAUCCUGGCUCAGAAUCAACGCUGGCGGCGUGCCUCAGACAUGCAAGUCGAACGAUUAAAGCUCCCUUCGGGGAGUGCAUAAAGUGGCGCACGGGUGAGUAACACGUAAGUAAUCUACCCUCGGGUGGGGAAUAACGUUCGGAAACGGACGCUAAUACCGCAUAAUGCAGCGGCACCGCAAGGUGACAGUUGUUAAAGAUUUAUUGCCUGGGGAGGAGCUUGCGGCAGAUUAGCUUGUUGGUAAGGUAACGGCUUACCAAGGCUACGAUCUGUAUCCGGUCUAAGAGGACGGUCGGACACACUGACACUGAAUAACGGGUCAGACUCCUACGGGAGGCAGCAGUCGGGAAUUUUGGGCAAUGGGGGAAACCCUGACCCAGCAACGCCGCGUGAAGGAUGAAGUAUUUCGGUAUGUAAACUUCGAAAGAAUAGGAAGAAUUAAUGACGGUACUAUUUAUAAGGUCCGGCUAACUACGUGCCAGCAGCCGCGGUAAUACGUAGGGACCAAGCGUUGUUCGGAUUUACUGGGCGUAAAGGGCGCGUAGGCGGCGUGGUAAGUCACUUGUGAAAUCUCUGAGCUUAACUCAGAAUGGCCAAGUGAUACUGCUGUGCUUGAGUGUGGAAGGGGCAAUCGGAAUUCUUGGUGUAGCGGUGAAAUGCGUAGAUAUCAAGAGGAACACCUGAGGUGAA
rnacentral:rRNA from 1 species